GAGUUGACCCAAGCUGAACUCGUU
rnacentral:siRNA from 1 species